rnacentral:lncRNA from 1 species
UUGAUAGGCAACAUGCACAUGCUGCUAUGGGGUUUCUGAGGGGUUUUCUUUCUGCAAGCAGUUAAAAAUUUGGAGCUACUGGGUCUUGCUUUUACCAUGUCCCGUGAUGUGUUGCUUCAUAAAUAUUACCUUUUUGCCUUACAGUAGGUAGUGGGAGCAUAUUUGAGUGGUUAUUUUGUUCCUAGGAUCUCAUUGGGCGAUUUUUUAUUCUUAUGCUGAUUCGGCCGAGACUUGGUACAUAAAUAUUACCUUUUUGCCUUACAGUAGGUAGUGGGAGCAUAUUUGAGUGGUUAUUUUGUUCCUAGGAUCUCAUUGGGCGAUUUUUUAUUCUUAUGCUGAUUCGGCCGAGACUUGGUAGAUUCCUUGUGCCUUGCAUCCACUAGCCACACAUAUGGACCAUACUUAUUCUUAUGGUG